GACGAACGCUGGCGGCUUGCUUCACACAUGCAAGUCGAACGAAGUGGCGCACGGGUGAGUAACGCUUAAUCAACCUGCCCUUCAGCGGGGGACAACAGUUGGAAACGACUGCUAAUACCCCAUACUGAAGGAGGGGAUUGCGUCUGAUUAGCUAGUUGGAGGGUUAACGGCUCACCAAGGCGAUGAUCAGUAGCCGGUAUGAGAGGAUGAACAGCAACAUUGGGACUGAGACACGGUCAAGACUGCUACGGGAGGCAGCAGUGGGGAAUAUUGCAAAAUGGGCGCAAGCCUGAUGCAGCAAUGCCGCGUGUAUGAAGAAGGCAUUCGGGUUGUAAAGUACUGUCAGCGGGGAGCGUUAACCGAAGAAGAAGCACCGGCUAACUCAGUGCCAGCAGCCGCGGUAAUAC
rnacentral:rRNA from 1 species